GGUCAGCUGACACAUCCCUGCCAAUCUCCGGCAGACCCUCCCUCCAACCCUCCCACCUCCUGGACAGCAUCCAUGUUGAAGCUGCCUUCAACAUGGAUGCUGUCCAGGAAGUAGGAGGGUCUGGGAGGGAGGGUCUGCUGAGAUUGGUCGAUGUGUCAG